rnacentral:rRNA from 1 species
GUGCCAGCCGCCGCGGUAAAACGUAGGUGAAGAGAGGUAGGAGGAUUCACUGGGUGUAAAGGGCGCGUAGGUGGUUGUCUGUGUCUCAUGUGAAAACUCAGGGCUCAACUCUGAGAUUGCGUGGGAAACUAGGCAGCUAGAGGACGGUAGAGGGGAGUGGAAUUCCCGGUGUAGCGGUAAAAUGCGUAGAUACCGGGAGGAACACCGGUGGCGAAGGCGGCUCUCUGGGCCGAUCCUGACGCUGAGGCGCGAAAGCUAGGGGAGCGAACCGGAUUAGAUACCCGGGUAGUCCUAGCCGUAAACGAUGGGUGCUAGGUGUUGGGGGGUAAAGACCCUUCAGUGCCGAAGCUAACGCGAUAAGCAUCCCACCUGGGGAGUACGGCCGCAAGGUUGAAACUCAAAGAAAUUGGCGG